GUCCCCAUCGUCUAGAGGCCUAGGACGCCGGCCUCUCACGUCGGCAACAGGGGUUCGAAUCCCCUUGGGGACGCCA
rnacentral:tRNA from 1 species